GACGAACGCUGGCGGCGUGCUUAACACAUGCAAGUCGAACGGAAAGGCCCUGCUUUUGUGGGGUGCUCGAGUGGCGAACGGGUGAGUAACACGUGAGUAACCUGCCCUUGACUUUGGGAUAACUUUAGGAAACUGGGGCUAAUACCGGAUAGGAGCUCCUGCUGCAUGGUGGGGGUUGGAAAGUUUCGGCGGUUGGGGAUGGACUCGCGGCUUAUCAGCUUGUUGGUGGGGUAGUGGCUUACCAAGGCUUUGACGGGUAGCCGGCCUGAGAGGGUGACCGGUCACAUUGGGACUGAGAUACGGCCCAGACUCCUACGGGAGGCAGCAGUGGGGAAUAUUGCACAAUGGGCGGAAGCCUGAUGCAGCAACGCCGCGUGCGGGAUGACGGCCUUCGGGUUGUAAACCGCUUUCGCCUGUGACGAAGCGUGAGUGACGGUAAUGGGUAAAGAAGCACCGGCUAACUACGUG
rnacentral:rRNA from 1 species